rnacentral:rRNA from 1 species
ACUCAAAUGAAUUGACGGGACCCCGCACAAGCGGUGGAGCAUGUGGAUUAAUUCGAUACUAACCGAAGAACCUUACCCAGGUUUGACAUCGCGGGUAAGCCUAUGAAAGUAGGCCCUCUACCCACAAGGUAGACCCAAAGACCCCUGUUGCAUGGCUGUCGUCAGCUCGUGCCGUGAGGUGUUUGGUUAAGUCCAUCAACGAGCGCAACCCUCGUCUCAUGUUGCCAGCGGGUAAUGCCGGGAACUCAUGAGAGACCGCCGUCGUAAGCCGGAGGAAGGUGGGGAUGAUGUCAAGUCAGCAUGGCGGUUAUGCCUGGGGCUUCACACAUGCUACAAUGGACACAACAAACGGCUGCAAUACCGCGAGGUGGAGCAAAUCCGAAAAAUAUGUCCUCAGUUCAGAUAGCACUCUGCAACUCGAGUGCUUGAAGGCGGAAUCGCUAGUAAACGCAGGUCAGCUAUACUGCGUUGAAUACGUUCCCGGGGUUUGUACACACCGCCCGU